CGCUCCAUCUCUGCGCAGCUCCGGAUUCAAAGGCCCAAGCUCGGCAGCACCUGCCGGCACCGGAUCCGCGCUGGCACUUCCGCGCAAACCGCCGCGCUCCCGGAGCGGUGCGAGCAGCACCCGGCAGGAGCAGCGUCCUUCUCCCGAGACGCUGGUGCCUCCGUAUUUGUGGCUCAGGUCAAGCAGCUACUUUUUACCCCGUAUUUAAGCAGCGCGCGUGCGGGACGGUUACGGGGCAGCAGCGGGACGCGGGGCGCCGCAGCCGCCGUGCGGGGGAGCCCCAGCGGGCGCCGGGCAGCGGGGACGGAGCGCAAGGCGCCGCGCUGGCAGCGCUCGCCGAAGCCCCAAGCCGCAAGGCGGAAACUCCGCGGCGCGCUUCUAACGCGGCGGCUCUUCCCCAGGGGCAGCGGGCGGCGAAGGGGUGCGCGGCGGCGGCGGCCGCGGUUGCUCCCGCCGGGAAGAAGAGGAGCCGGGGGGGGGAUUGCUGAGGAACCGCCGCGAGGGCCAGAGACCGGCGUAACUCACCUGGGCGUCGGGCGGCGGCGGCAGCGGGGAGAGGCGCCCCCGCCUCGCGGCCCUCGCGCCGGGCCGGGAACGGCGGCAGCGGGGGUCCGCGUCUCCUUCUCCUCCUCCUCCUCCUCCCGGCGGGCGGCGGCGGGAGCCGCGGUGAGGAGCGCCGCAGGAAUUUCCUCCCGCCUCCGGGAAGGGCAGCCGGUUCCCGGCUCCCGGGGGCGGGGGCUCCUUCCCUCCCUCCUUCGCUCCCUCACCGCGGCGCCAACCGCCGCCCCCUCGCGGAGGCGCCCGCCGAGGAGGCCGCGGGGCCCGGCCGCCGCGGGGCGAGGGGGGCUGCCGGCGGCGGGGGCCGGGCUGAGCCGGGGGGCGGGCGAAGAGAGGGGGGGAGGCAGCGGGAGGCGGAGGACUGGAAGGAGCGGGAGGAGGAGUGAUGUCUCCCCGACGUUUGUGCCUGGGGGGCCCGGGGUCCCCGCGUCCCCUCGGCCCUUCUCGGGCACCAGGGGAAGGCGGUGGUGCCCUGCCUGGGGAGGCAGYUGGGGUGAGGAGGAGCUGCCGAAAUGGCGGGGCCUGGGGCCCUGGGCUUCCCCGGCCCCCCUGGCGCUGCGUGACUGCCUUGCGUGCGCCUUUCAGAGAAACCCUGGGAAUCCCAUGCAGAAACRGCACUAA
rnacentral:lncRNA from 1 species